GCGGGAUUGCCGGAGUGGUCAAACGGGAACGGUUCAGGGCCGUUUAGCUUAGUGCUUUCGCAGGUUCGAAUCCUGCAUCCCGCA
rnacentral:tRNA from 1 species